rnacentral:tRNA from 1 species
GCCCGGGUGGCGGAAUGGCAGACGCAACGGACUUAAAAUCCGUUUUCCCGGUUACGGGAAGUGCGGGUUCGACCCCCGCCCCGGGCA